GGCAGCCAAUCAGCUUGUCAGGCAGUGUCCCCCACGCGCCGGGAGCCACCCUGAGCGUUUGCUCGACUGUCCUUUCUUUGGCUCAUCACAGCCGAAGGGGUAUCAGGUUUUCUACUCGGGACUCUCUCCAGCUCUACUCGCCUCGUUCCAGCCGCACCGCUGUCCCCUGGACUCAAAGCCCAGUCGCCGCUGGGGACCGGGUAAGAGCCGUCUGUGCACCUAAACGAGGAUGGCGCGAAAAUCCGGAGGCAGAUUCGGACACAUUCCCCGAGGAGCACCUCAGGGCCAUUUGGGAUGAUCGGUCCGGAGCCGGCUCCAUUUGGUUUCUCUCAAAGGGCCGCAGGUUGAACCUUCGGAGGAUUCCAACCCCAACCUUCAAGUCAGUUGAAAAUGAAUGGAACAACAUAUCCCCUGUCCGGAUUCCGGGCUCUCAGGAUCUGCUUCCCUGAUGGCUCAGUGGUAAAGAAUCCACCUUGCAAUGCAAUGGACACAGGUUCAAUCCGUGGUCUGGGAAGAUCCCACAUGCCUCGAAGCAGCUAAGCCCACACGCCACAACUACUGAGCCUGUAUUCCAGAGCCCCCGAGCCGCAACUACUGAAGCCUGUGGAGCCCCUGUUCCACAACAAGAGAAGCCACCGCAACAAGAAGCCCUCGGCACUGCAAUGAGAGAGUAACCCCCGCUCACCAAAACUAGAGAAAGUCCAUGCAGCAACAAAGACCCAGUACAGCCAAAAAUAACUAAAUAAAACAUAGUCGAUAAGGGAAUUCCCUGGAGAUCCAGUGGUUGGGCCUCAGUGGUUUCAUUUAUUGCAAAGGCCCAGGUUCAAUCCCUAGUUCGGAAACUAAGACCCUGCAAGCCAAGCAACUCGGCUAAAACACCAAAAGAACCCAGAAAGCAAUAGUCAGUCAUAUCACCUUCUUUUCAGUACCCAUUUUCUAUUUUUCCUGCUCAACUGGAUUAGCUAGAACCUCUUGGGAGGCAGUGAAUAAGUGUUGAUAGUAGGCACUCUUCCUGUGUUCACUGUCUUAAGGGGAUAUCUCAAUAGUUUCUCAGCAUGAAAACUAUUUGCUGUGUGUUUUCUCAUAAACUCCUUUUAUCACUUCCCAAAAGUUUGGUCAUAGUUCUAAUUUGCUAAGAGGCUUUAUCACGGAUGAAUAUCCAAAUUUAUUAGAAGCCUUCUCAUCUAUUCAGCUGAUCAUAUGAUUUUUCACAUUUGAUCUUCUGUCAAGUUACAAACUGAUUGAUUUUCUAGUGCUAAAAUGAACAUUAAAUUCCUCAUUUAGAUACAGUGCUGUGUGUCAAUUAUAUCUCACUAAAACUAGAAGAAAAAAAUUAACGAAUUCCUGAUUCAAAUCACCUUGGCCAUGAUGUAUUAUCAUUUUUAGAUAUUGUUGGAUUUGGUUUGCUAAAAUUUUAUUUAGAAUUUUUUUCAUCUAGACAUUGAGUGAUGAUGAUCUGCAGUUUUCCUCUCAUAUUUCACUUGUCCAACUGAUUAUCAAGAUUAUGCUAGCCAGUGUUCAUAACAGCAAUAUGUACAAUAGCCAAGAAGUAGAAGCAACCUAAGUAUCCAUCAACGGAUGGAUAAAGAAAAUGUGGCAUAUAUAUGUAUAUAAAUGAAUACUACUCACCCAUUUUUCAAAAAGGAUGAAAUAAUACCAUUUGCAGCAACAUGGAUGGACCUAGAGAUUAUCAUAUUAAGUGAAGUAAGUCAGACAGAGAAAGACAAAUACAUGAUAUCACUUAUAUGUGGAAUUUAAAAAGUUAAUACGUGUAAACUUGUCUACAAAACAGAAACAGGCUCGUAGACAUAGAAAGCAAUGUUACAGUUUCCAAAGAGGAAAUGGGUAGGAGAGGGAUAAAUUAAGAGUUGGGGAUUAAUUUCACAUCCCUAUAUAUAAAAUAGAUAAACAAAACGACCGAGCGACUAAGCACAGCACAGCAUGAAUACACAUAUAUAACUGAAUCAAUUUGCAGUACAGAAGAAACUAGCACAACAUUGUAAACCAACUAUACUUCAAUUAAAACAAGAAAAAUGUCAAUCCAGGAAAUUGCUAGGAGAAAUAUGCAAAAUACAGGGAUUUAAAAACAAGAGUAUGCUAGCAUCAUAAAGUUAUUUAGGCAGUGUUUCCUCUUCUGUUCUUGUGGGUAGUUUGUGUAAUACUGAAACUCUCACUUCCUUAAACUUGUAUCUUAGAAGUUGCUGUGACAGAGUUAUUAAGCUUGUCUGGAUUUUUCCAAUGUAUGCACGUGUGUGUGCUAAAUUGCUUCAGUUGUGUCUAACUCUUUGUGACCCCAUGAACUGGGGAACUAGAGAACCAUUCCAGAUUAAAGGAGAUUAAGAAACAUAAAUAUUAUAUGUGUUCCUAGAUUGAAUCCCAGACCAGAUUUUUUUCUUUUGCCAUAAAAUUCAAAUAAAGUCUGUAGAUUAGGUCAUAGUAGUGUAUCAGUUUUAGUUUACUGGUUUUGAUUAUUGCACUGUGAAUGUCCUUAUUCUUAAGAAAUACCCACGAAAGUACUAGUGAAAAAUGAAAGUAGUAGUCGCUCAGUGUCUGACUUUGUGACCCCAUGGACUGUAGCCGGCCAGGCUCCUCUGUCCAUGGAAUUCUCCAGGCAAGAAUACUGGAGUGGGCUGCCAUUCCCUUCUCCAAGGGAUCUUCCAGACCCAGUGAUCAAACUCAGGUCUCCUGCUUUGCAGGUGGAUUCUUUACCGUUUGAGCCAUGAGGGAAGGAGUAUUAUGUCUGCAACUUACUCUCAAAUAUUUCAGCGGAAAAACAAAUGGCAGUAGAAGGAGGAUAAGGAGAAAAAAGCCAUCAGGAUAACCUGUGGUCAAAGGACUCUGGGCACAGUGCUAUCUAAUAUCUAAUUUAAAAUAUUUCCCUCUCACUCUAAUCAAGUCUUUACUAUGUUUUGCUAAAAUCAGGGUCUGAUAUUUCAUGUAACUUGGGAAACAGAGGAAGAGAUCUUUUUCUUCUUGGGAUACAGAGCAGCAUGGCAAGGGCAGAGCUUGCAAGAGUUGUCGGGUCAAUCAAGGAGGUA